AGUUUGUGUGGCGGCUGGCGUUGUGGAGGCUCGGUGACUGCCGCCACGACGGUGAGCUGAGGUUCUGGAUCCUCCUAGUACUGGGAAGCUUCUCUCAGCCUCGUGUUUCUCUGAUGGGAUGACCUGAUGCUCUUUUUUUCUCAGUCCACAUGGAGCUGCAGACCCACCAGAGGGUUCGAUCAGUAUGGCCCCAAGCUGCUUCCUGCCUCCCACCUCCCUUGGACCCAUCCAAGCCUUUCUGGGCCUUCCUUAUGAAUGCGUGUGCAAGUCAGAGAGAGGAGCCAGAGGGAG